AAUCUGUCAAAAGUUAUAUUGAGCCUUUAAACGGUCCAGCUAUUCAUAAAAUUCUUCAUGCGUUUUCGACUACGCCUAUUUAAAAUAUUUAAAAAAACUCGGUGCACCCAGUUCUACCUCAACAUUUUCAAUUUGAUAUCACAAAGAGUAAAGGAAAAGGAUAUCACAAAUAAAAAGGAAAACCAUCCGAAAAAUUUAAUCCACUACAAUCUUUUGCGAUUAUUUUGUCAAGAAAGAAAAUCUUGGUAGCAUUUCAUUUCUUCAACGCUAUUCAAGUUUACCAUGAUAGAAACUUAACCUUUAUCUAUCGGAAACCUUUAAAGAUUUACGCGCCGUUAAUUAGCUGGAUGGAUAUGUCAUACGCCGACGCAUCUAAAAUGGAUAAUGCUGUUCCCUAUUAAAGAUUGUUGUGGUAAAGAUGUUAAAGCUGAUCCCUUAUUAACGGAAAUAUAAUUCAUUUCUAACGUGAUUUUAAGGUAAAGAAUUUCACAUCAAGCUUGCAUGGAGGGAAAAACGUAAGCACAUUGACAGCCCAGAUGAUUAAAACUCAUUUAACAAAGAUCUAGUGUGCUCAGCAAUGUUAAGGAACAAAGAUUUCAUUUCGGGCAGGAGAGCGAUCGCGGAAGUGCUUCUGCCAAGUAGGCAAUGGUAAAAGGCGAAAACGCCGUCUUAGACCGCAGUGCUGUUAGUCAAGUACGUAUAGACCGCCAUUAAUAUUACAAGAAAAUGAAGUGUCCUUUUUUAGAACGAAGGACUGUCAUGCAAGUACAAAUUGAGGUUAUAUCACCAUCUUAGUUCGGAAAACGAUUAGUAUUAUUAAUUUUUGUUAUACCUCUGCGCAUAACUGCCGCUGAGCAAGUAAAACAAUGAUAUUUGCUUUUUUCUUUCUUUCUUUCCUCGUGUCCGUUGUUAUACUUGCAAUGUUACAAAGCCUGUUGAAUAACACCUACGCAUAAGUAUUUUGUAAAUUAGUGAUUAUGUGUGCAUGCACAGACUUAAGAAUGACAUAAUAAAACUUUAUGGAAUAUUAGGGAAAUGUGUUGCCCAUGCUGUUUUCAAUGAUUUUUUAUCGUUUUAAGAGCAGGGGUCAUUAGACGUAUAGAUCAUACUAUUAUGAUAACAAAGAUUUGGUUUAUGUUGUGAUUAAUUCACUUUUUAUGGAUGAAUAAUAAUUCCCUACGUUUUCCAUGUCUGAAUCCUUGGUGUAUCCCAUAAGAUUGGUGGAAAUUACAUAUAUAACCCGCCAUUAUAGCUUUUUCUCACACUAAGCUUGUCCACCAUCUUUAUACUUAUACAGAAAUCCAAAUCUUCCCAGCCAAGCUUUCUCUAUCCUUCCCGUAUCAUUGAAUUUAAAUGUAGUC